UACGUAGGGGGCAAGCGUUGUCCGGAUUUAUUGGGCGUAAAGAGCGUGUAGGCGGCCAGAUAGGUCCGUUGUGAAAACUGGAGGCUUGACCUCCAGCUGUCGAUGGAAACCAUCUGGCUAGAGUCCGGAAGAGGAGAGUGGAAUUCCUGGUGUAGCGGUGAAAUGCGCAGAUAUCAGGAAGAACACCCGUGUCGAAGGCGGCUCUCUGGGACGGUACUGACGCUGAGACGCGAAAGCGUGGGGAGCAAACAGG
rnacentral:rRNA from 1 species